UACCUUUUGCAUCAUGAUUUAGCCAGAAAAUCUCAAGCAAAGAGCACUUUAGUUUGAUUCCCCGAAACUACGUGAGCUACUCCAAGACAGCCUAACAUAGGGCAAACCCGUCUCUGUGGCAAAAGAGUGGGAAGAGCUUUGAGUAGAGGUGACAGACCUACCGAACCUAGUUAUAGCUGGUUGCCUGAGAAAUGAAUAGAAGUUCAGCCUAUCGGAUUCUUCCCUCACCUUUAUAAUUUUUACAACAACCAAAAGAAACCGAAAGAGUUAGUCAAAGGGGGUACAGCCCCUUUGACACAAGACACAACUUUUCCAGGAGGGUAAAGAUCAUACUCAAACACCAAGGUAAGAUGUUUUGGUGGGCCUAAAAGCAGCCACCCCUACAGAAUGCGUUAAAGCUCAAACAUACCUACCACCCAUAAUCCUGACAACCCUAUCUUAACCCCCUUACCCUACCAGGCCAUCCCAUGCAAACAUGGGAGUGACCAUGCUAAUAUGAGUAAUAAGAGAGCAUUAGCCUCUCUCCCUGCACAAGU
rnacentral:rRNA from 1 species